rnacentral:misc_RNA from 1 species
GUCCGGGUGAGUUUCCUUUGCCAAUUUGCGAAAAGAAGCUUUGAUUUCAUCGCUGGAGCUGGUCUCUGAAACUCCCAAAAUGUCGUAUGCGUUCUCUCCAGAAAAUUCAGAUCGAACUGAGGCUGAGUCACUGCUACAGGUGAAUAGCCGAAUUCCACAACUCGAAUAACAUAAUACUAGGCGAUAAGAGCUAGACUUGCCUCGACUUUGAAG